GGCAUUAAAAGAUAACAAGGAUAUGCGAGCAGUAUUUGGAGUCCAAGAAGAGCAACACUGCCAAAGGUGAGGAGCAAAGUGGGUACAAAGAAGAUUGUCCAGAGGUACCAGAAAGAAUAUAUAUUCCUUUUAAAAAAAUAACAGGUCUGUUAUGUUCAUAGUGCUUUACUUUAGAGUGGUAUCCUGGCUUUCAAACAUCCUUUAUAAAUUGAAUCUGUGCAGAUGUGUGCCCCUGGAAACUUCCGAGGAAAACAAAUAGGAGGUUUUCAGUGCUUUCUGCCCUGUAAAUACAGUGAUCCUGCAGAAAACGAUAUGAAGUUCAACAGUUCAAAUGGUUCACAGUGA